rnacentral:rRNA from 1 species
UGCCGCGUGUGUGAAGAAGGCCUUCGGGUUGUAAAGCACUUUUGUCCGGAAAGAAAACCUCUGGGUUAAUACCUCGGGGGGAUGACGGUACCGGAAGAAUAAGCACCGGCUAACUACGUGCCAGCAGCCGCGGUAAUACGUAGGGUGCGAGCGUUAAUCGGAAUUACUGGGCGUAAAGCGUGCGCAGGCGGUUUUGUAAGACGGAUGUGAAAUCCCCGGGCUUAACCUGGGAACUGCAUUCGUGACUGCAAGGCUAGAGUAUGGCAGAGGGGGGUAGAAUUCCACGUGUAGCAGUGAAAUGCGUAGAGAUGUGGAGGAAUACCGAUGGCGAAGGCAGCCCCCUGGGCCAAUACUGACGCUCAUGCACGAAAGCGUGGGGAGCAAACAGGAUUAGAUACCCUGGUAGUCCACGCCCUAAACGAUGUCAACUAGUUGUUGGGGAUUCAUUUCCUUAGUAACGUAGCUAACGCGUGAAGUUGACCGCCUGGGGAGUACGGUCGCAAGAUUAAAACUCAAAGGAAUUGACGGGGACCCGCACAAGCGGUGGAUGAUGUGGAUUAAUUCGAUGCAACGCGAACAACCUUACCUACCCUUGACAUGUACAGAAUCCUGCUGA